CAAAACAUACAUACAUAGAUAAUACUAGAGUGGUUUACAAUGUACAAUGCCCAAAAUACAAAGUACUUACUACAUGGUUCACGACCCAUAUUUCAUGUCUACGAAGCCUCUAAGGAUAAAGAUGACAGUACUAUGCUUGCUGGUAACAAGGCUCCAGCUAUACCUUUUUUUAGCAUACACCAAAAUAAGAUCCCAAAGUAAAAGAACAAGGGUGGCAGGAGCCACGCAGGGCCCCGGAAGGAAAGGGGCUCACCAAUACAGCUGACAAGGAUUAAGGAAGAGCUACGAAUGGUGGACUGGAGGACCUGCUAAAGAUCCACCUACAAUCAUAACACGAAGGUAGAGCCCCGGCAAAAGGGACGUCGGCACAUUUGAAUUGAACUGGUAUGUAUGAACAAAACUUGUCCCAAGUACUCAAGACAUAUGAAAGUAGAACAUAGCAAUGGAAGUAGCAAUCAAACACACAUAGAAGGUACAAUUAGUCAAACAUAGGGGCAAUCAGUGCCCCACAAGUUACAAACUCUCCUGUUGUCUCCUUUCAUAAUUCCACAUUAAUGAUUUCACAAUUUUGUUCAAAUAUAUAUAUAUAUAUAUAUGUAUAUAUAUUUGUAUAUAUGUAUAUAUAUAUAUAUAUAUAUAUAUAUAUAUCAAUAGUGAUUUCGAUCACUUUUCCAGCCAUAUUACCUCGACCACCCUUAUUACCUCGGCCACCAUUAUCACACCAACCCAAACCUUAUUACACCGUGUUGCAGCGCGCAACUCGACCCCGCCGUACAGUUCAAUUCACAACCAACACAACCAAAUAACAAGUCAUAAAAUAAAUAACAAAUACACUUCAAGACAUCACUACAACAAUGUUACAAGUGUUUCGAUAACUAUUAGUACCAAUUUCAUUUCUUACAACAGUUCGUACUUAAUUCAGGUUACCACAAUUACGCACAACAUUUCAAGUACAUAGUUAUCACAGAUAUCCUUGUUUCACCUUUUACGGAUUCCUUCAAUCACUUAUUAUCCAACUUAUACCACGAGGUGCAUUCACAAUCAAACCAGUCACAAGAAGCUCACAAUUAACCAACAUAGAUAUCAACUACCAAACAAUUCACAUACCAAGCAAGGCGAUUUCACAAGGAUCAAGAUUAGCCAUACAUACCUGGAGNNNNNNNNNNNNNNNNNNNNNNNNNNNNNNNNNNNNNNNNNNNNNNNNNGAAUACCUGGAGUCGAAUUCCCUUUUUAAGUUCCUAUUCUCAGUCACCAAGCUAUCUAGCACAGUUCUCUACUCCUAUCCAAUUUUCCUUCACUAGAUUCUAAGUUUUGAGUGACAUGCAUGAGGGUUUCCAAUUGUUAGUUCAAAAUCAAGUAUAAGAAUCCCUUCCCUUAGCUUAAAUUAAAAACAUUGGGGAAAAGGGUUAAGGAUUUUACCUUCAAGAGUGUAGAUAAAGCAAUAACUCAAAAUUUUUUCCCACUCGGUAGUUUUGGAGGAUCAAUUUGAUGAAGAAUCCUUUCUAUCUCAAGAACUCCCCUUCCCUAUCUCUUGUUUUGUUUAGAAAAUGUGUAAAAAUGAGGGGUUAGGGUAUUUUAUUAGAAAAAGGUCGGAUUUAAAAAAUUUAGAAAACUGAUGUUCGUGUAGGAUAUGCGGUCAACUAUGCGAUCGCAUAGUUGACAUGCGGUCCGCAUAAUGGUCCCAAAUUGCUGACCUCUCUGUUUGGGUAUGCGGUGAAAAUGUGGUCUGCAUACCUGUUUUGAAGUCGCAUAUUGCGCCGCAGAAAUGACCUUCACAAAUCCUCGAGAAAUUUAUGCGACGACUAUGCGGUCCGCAUAUUAGUUAUGUGAUCGCAUAAUAGACCGCAUUUCAACAUGUAAUUUGGCUACUCUCUGAUUAACUCUGCGGUAGAUAUGUGGUUCACAUGCCUGACCACAGAAAUGACAUUUUUCCGGAAAUAUUUAACUCUAGAUUUUUAAGUAUAAAAUCAGUGGAAAAGGAUUCCAACACAUAGGUGGACCUAACUCUAUGAGUUGAUAGGGCUAAAACACUCAUUUACACGGGGUCUUACAGUUACUUAAUGAGUUGGUAUACUCAUGCUACCCCCUGCACCUUAUGUGUAGAUCCAGGUGUUUUCGAUCGCGGUAGAAGUUACUGGUCGAGGUUGCAGACUUGGAGAUAAUUGAGUUAUCUGCAAGGCAUUCACAUAUCUUGACCCUCCUUUUUUAUUCCAGUUGUAUUUUAGUUGUUUCCUCAGUAAACAUUGUAGUAGACUAUGUUCUUUCUUUAGAUGCUCAUGUAAUCCAUGACACGCUGGUUUAAAUUAUGCCUUAUGUUUUUAAAAUAGUUUUACUUAAAUGAUGAAUGUGUUUUUCGCAAGUGUUCUAAAUUCUAGUCAUGUGGUUUGAAUUACGUUGAGUUGAGGCUGGCCUAGUUUCACGAUAUGUGCCAUCACAAUGGAUUAAGUUUUGGGUUGUGACAACAAGUCUCUGAAAGAUAGAAUAUAUUCUUAGUCAAAUCACUGUUCUGGCUUUGUGCUGCCUCUAAAUCAUUUGAAGAAGUCAAAUUUGUCGUGAUAAUCUAUUUUGGGCUUUAUUAUUGCACAUAAUCUUGGCACUCUAAAUGUGCUUUUUUAGCUAUACUGGUUUUAGCGGUGUGAAAUGAGGGGUUUUGUUGAAUUUGAACAUUUAAAAUGGAUUGAUGGGCAUAUAUAUAUAUAUAUAUAUGGUUGGAAAUAUAACUUAUAUUAAACAGUUUAAACUAGUACAUUACACAUGGUAAGAAGAUGCAUAAGAGGCAUCAGUUGUUCCGAAGUCUCUCGUAUGGGAGCUAUUUUUAGAAGCAGUAGGAAAAGUAGAAAACAUACUAGUAUUAGUAGACAACAUAGUACUAUUAUACCCACUAGUUGAACCAGAGAGCAAAUGGUCUUAACCCCUAGAGUUAGCCCUAAUAAGUCUUUGUUGUAAGAUGCCUUGUCGAUCAUGUUGGUAAGAAGGCAUAGCCGAAAGUGGUGGUCUUCCAAAAAUCAUGCAUUGCUCCUUUAACUGCAUGGCUCUAUAUCUGGCUAAGCUAUCAUCAACACCAUUCUACUCUCUGUAGAUGUGUUGUAUAGAUAGACUAUCCAUCUAUAGAAGCAAGAACCUGCAAUCAUUUAUGAUAAUUAUUGAGCUAAACAUACCUAUGAUUUCACGCACAUCCAUCUCAUUGAAGAUUGGUGUGAGAUGUUUAUGUACAUCAAUUUUGAGUCCCAUGAGGAGUGCAAGAAGUUCAGUUUGAAUACUUGUGCCUUCUUGGACUCUCCCUGUAAAGCCUAUAAUCCAGUUUCCAUGGAUAUUUCUAUAAACACCUCCAAUGCCAUAUUUUCCCUUAUCCGGGAAACAAAAGCCAUCAAUGUUAAGUUUAUAGGCAGUGUUGGUUGGUGGAUGACACUUUAUAUAAUAGGGUGAUGAGGAAGAAUUUUUUGUUGAACGGUAUGUAAAUAAAUAAAAUUCUACAGCGGUUUUUAUAAUAAAGGGUAUAUUAAAAGUGACUUUUGGGUUUUCAAGAAUAAGUUUAUUCCUAUCUACCAAUCCUGCCACAAAAAAAAUGGCUUAGGGUUGUGUAGGUUAUAUUAUGAGGGAUAUAAGAUGAGGGGGUGUGUAUUAGUGGGUAUAACCAACUGAGAGUAUUAUGAUGUGUUAUAGAAGAAUUAGUGGGAGUAGUAGGGAUUCUUAGGGUAGUCCAAAAGUGAUUUGUAUUAGAACAGUCGGAGAAUAGAUGAUGUAUUAUUUCAAGGACCAUAUGACAUUGCUGGCAUAUGGCUGAUUGACUGAUACCUAGUCUUGCAAGAUAUGAAGCUAUUGGCAGCCUUUCAUGGCAAAGUAGCCAUAAGAAGAAAGUAAUUUCUAGGGGAAUGUGCAGUUUCCAAAUCCACAUAUAGUUUUGCAAAAAUGGCAUAAUAGUAGGCUAUUUGAGUGAUAAUAAAAUAUUGUAGAUAGAUUUGGUUGUAAAUAUUCCAGUUAUGCAGUGCCUAAUAAAAUUGAUCACACAUAUCAGGUGUGAUAGGCAUGUAAAUGUUGGUGAUUAACGAAUGUAACUUUGCAGGCAGUUGGAAUGAUAAAGUAUCUACGUGCCAAGUGUUGUUAUAGUAAUAAUUGGAGGCUAAUUUUCUCUCCUCAUGUUGUGGUAGGGGACCAUGUAUGUAUUUACGAAGUGUUUUAUUUUGAGCGAGCCAGGGAUCAAUCCAAAAUCUGACAUGAUUUUCUGUUAAAAGAUUCCACUUAAACCCUAACUGACAGCAGGGCCAUCCCUUUAUUAUAUUACGCCAAAUGUUGGAGCCGUUAACUUCUGUUGAGUAUUCAGGUCUUAUAUUAGAAUGAAGAAUUACUUGUGCCCACAGUUGGUUUGAGAUUUUAAAUAAUUUCCAUGCCAGGCCUGUGUGCAGGUUUUGAAUUCCUAAGGGAUAGGUUGUAUAACUGUUGACCAUUUUAGUAAAUGGAGUUUUUGCUUUUGUGAUGUUGUACCCCAAAGAAAAUUAUGUUGAUACCAUUUGAGUAAGUUAUGAUAUAAUCAGGGAUUUUAAUGUAUUACAUAAUAUGAUUUGGAAAAUGAUUGAGAGUAUAUUUAAUCAGGGUAAUUCUACUGGCCCUUGAUAGGAAAAUUGUCUUCCACCCUUGGAGUUUUUUUUUUUAAAAUUAUCUAGAAGAAAUUGAUAAUCCCUUUUGGAAGGUUUCUUGGUAAAUAUAGGAAACCCUAGGUAUUUUCCAAAAUUCUUCCCUUCAUCCAUCUGAAAGAGAUGGAAAAUUGUUUGUCUGAUAAAAGGUUGACAAUUGUUUGAGAAGUAAAAUUUUGAUUUCUUAAAGUUGAUAGUUUGACCGGAUUGGUGGGUAAACUAGUUGAGGCUACUACGAAUGGAAUGGCAAGUCUUAGCAGUAACUUGGGAAGUGAGAAUAAUAUCGUCAGCAAAUAGCAAGUGAGAUAGUUGGGGUCCCCUUUUUGAUAGGGUAAGGGGCAUCCAUUCCCUAUAGUCAAUAACUCUAUUUAUUUUCCUUGAUAGCAGCUCCAGACAUAGAAUAAACAAAUAAAGUGAUAAAGGGUAUCCUUGCCUAAUGCCUCUUGUGGAGGUGAAGUAAUCAGGAAGACUACCAUUUAUUAAAAUAGAAGUAGAAGUGGUUGUAAUGCAGGACAUAAUAAGCUUAAUGAUAUCCUUAGGGAAAUUUAAGACUAAGGUGUGAUAAAUAAAAGAUAAUUCUAGUUUAUCAAUGGCUUUUUCAAGGUCUAGAUUGAGAAGCAUAUUUAAUUGUUUGCUCUUCCUUUUUUAAAAUUACGAAUGAUCUCUUGUACAAUUAUUGCAUUGUUAGCUGCUCUCUUAUUUUUCGGAAAGCUAUACUGACUAGGAUGAAUAAUAGCUCCAGAAUUUGUUUUAAUCUAUUCACAAUAAUUUUUGUUAUGAUCUUGUAAAUGAUGUAUAAAGACCGAUAGGUCUGUAUUGAGAUAUUAUGGAGGCAUUAUAGUUUUUUGGAAUAAGACAAAUAAAAGAUGUGUUAAUAGAGUGGUCAAUAUGGUAUUCAUUAAAAGCUUUAUGAUAGAAAUAUUUGACAGAGUCGACUAUAAUAUUCCAAUAUUUUUAGUAAAACAAUGGAUGAAGACAAUCCGAUCCAGGUGCUUUGAGGGGUUAAAACGAAUUAAUAGCAUUUUGAAUUUUCUUAUCCUGUAGAGGAUGAAUUAGUCUUUAUUGAUCCUUACUUGUUAACACAUUGUAAGGGAAAAAUUUAUUAGUAGGAUAGGAUAUAAAAUUUAUAGUUGUGAAUAAUUUUGUAUAAGAAAGAGCAAUGUGAUCUUUUAUUUGAUGAGGGUUGUCAAUCCAGUUUCCUCCUUGAUCUUGAAUAGUAGUGAUUCGAUUAUGCCUUGUACGAUUUAUAGUUGAUAGGUGGAAAAACUUGGUAUUUGCAUCCUCAUUAUUUAGCCAAUUUAUACAGGACUUCAAUCUCCAAAAGUCCUCUUCUAGUCGUAGAAUGUGAUUAUAUUCAAUUUGUAAUUGAUGUUCCAAAUUUUGUAGAAAAUUACUAGUGGGAUAAUGGAUGGAGGAUUGUAAAUCACUUAAACGGGCUAAGACUUUAUUUUUUCUUUUAAAAAUAUUACCAAAAGUAGAAUUGUUCCACUCUUGUACUAUAUUUGUAAACCUGUAUAUUGCACGUAAUAAAUUUAAAUUUUUCGGUCAGGCUUGUUGAAUUACAGAUGAAAAAAAGGGUGCAUAGUCCAAAUUUUUUCAAAACGAAAUUUUUUUUGCCUUGGCAGGGUGCUAUUUUGUAAUUAUAAUUUGAUGGGACAAUGGUCGAAAUGGUACGUGGUAGAUGGGUGACCAAUGCUUCAGGAAACUGGUGCAGCCAGCUAUAGUUUGCCACGACACGAUCGAUACGCUCAAGUAUAUUUGCUCCAUUAUGCCUUCCAUUGGUCCAUGUGUAACAACUACCUUAUAACCUAAGUCUAUCAAAUAACAAUAAUAUGAAGCAGUCUAACAAUUUAUUUGAACGUGACAUAUUUAUAGGAUGGCCACCAAACUUAUCAGAGACAUGCGUAAUUUCAUUAACAUCCCAUCCAAGGAUCUAUGGCCCUUUGUAAUUAUCAUAUACACACAUCAAGUUAUCCAAAAGAGCUAAUUUAUUACUUAACUCUGUGCUUGCAUAAAUAGCAGUGAACAAGAAUUUAUAGGGGUAAGGGCGUACCUGGAUAUGGCAAUGUAUUUCCUAGGAAGUAGUGGCCACUGGCUCAAUGUUAAGAACAUUUGAAAGACAUAAAAUGGCUAUUCCCCCAGCUUGCCCUAUAGCAGCAACCUAUUUGAGCCCAUUGAAGUUAAAAUCCUCCUUCAAAAUCUGGUGAAUUUCACAGUGAGUUCCAAGAGUACAACCAUAGAUGGCCUGUUAUAAUCAAGAAGUGAUCAAAAGUUCCUUCUAAAAUUAGCAUAUUGGGCCCCUUGACAAUUUCAAAUAAUAAUAUUCAUAUUAUAAUUAUCUGAGUCAAUCCUUGGAUUCCUCCAAUUGCUACACCUUCAUUAGCCUUUAAGGGCACCUUGCGUAUAUUUUUAUCUCGUAUUCCUCAUUUGGGACAAAUACUUUGAUCCCUUCUAGACAUGCAUGCACUGGUCUUGUUUCUCUAUUGUAUACGAUUGCUUCUUAUAGUUCUGCCUAGAAAUUUAUGUCAUGUUUUGGUGAAUUGGGAUGGUGAGGGGGUGACUGGGAUGGUAAAAAAGUUGGAGUUA
rnacentral:lncRNA from 1 species